UAGCGGCGAGUGAGCGGCAAAAGCUCAAAUUUGAAAUCUGGCUCUUUCAGAGUCCGAGUUGUAAUUUGAAGAAGGUAUCUUUGGGUCUGGCUCUUGUCUAUGUUUCUUGGAACAGAACGUCACAGAGGGUGAGAAUCCCGUGCGAUGAGAUGAUCCAGGCCUAUGUAAAGUUCCUUCGAAGAGUCGAGUUGUUUGGGAAUGCAGCUCUAAGUGGGUGGUAAAUUCCAUCUAAAGCUAAAUAUUGGCGAGAGACCGAUAGCGAACAAGUACAGUGAUGGAAAGAUGAAAAGAACUUUGAAAAGAGAGUGAAAAAGUACGUGAAAUUGUUGAAAGGGAAGGGCUUGAGAUCAGACUUGGUAUUUUGUAUGUUACUUCUUCGGGGGUGGCCUCUACAGUUUAUCGGGCCAGCAUCAGUUUGGGCGGUAGGAGAAUUGCGUUGGAAUGUGGCACGGCUUCGGUUGUGUGUUAUAGCCUUCGUCGAUACUGCCAGCCUAGACUGAGGACUGCGGUUUAUACCUAGGAUGUUGGCAUAAUGAUCUUAAGUCGCCCGUCUUGAA
rnacentral:rRNA from 1 species